CAGUAGCCGCGGGAAAACGUAGGGUGCAAGCGUUAAUCGGAAUUACUGGGCGUAAAGCGUGCGCAGGCGGUGAUGUAAGACAGUUGUGAAAUCCCCGGGCUCAACCUGGGAACUGCAUCUGUGACUGCAUCGCUGGAGUGCGGCAGAGGGGGAUGGAAUUCCGCGUGUAGCAGUGAAACACGUAGAUAUGCGGAGGAACACCGAUGGCGAAGGCAAUCCCCUGGGCCUGCACUGACGCUCAUGCACGAAAGCGUGGGGAGCAAACAGGAUUAGAUACCCCAGUAGUCCCUGUCUCUUAUAC
rnacentral:rRNA from 1 species